AGAUUGCAAGGACACUUCCUUGCCCCAUGCCAGCCACAUCCCUGCUGAGCUUCUCCCCAGUGUCUCCCAGGCCGUGCAGGAUGUGGGAACCCAGGACACUACAGCCAGAGUGGGGGCAGCCACAGAUCCCACUGCAGCCAGGCAAUAAGAAGCAGUCAGGGCUUGGGAGUGUCUCAGUGCCCCUCAGCAGGACCAGUCAUGCCCCCAUUGCUGCCGGGGGCUGCCUGGAGCCAUCUCUCCAUCCACAGCAUCGGCCGGGAUGGAGCACGGCCCUGGGUUGCCAUACCAACGCAGGUGCUAACGGGUGUUGACUAACUGUGAGCUGAUCGGAUCAGAGAAUGGUAGCGCUGAGUUGCCAUGGCAACCGAGAUGCCAAAUUGGAAAUGGUGUCGAUAGCAAAGGUACUCAAGAGGUGGCAAGUGUGCGCAGGGGGCAGUGCCCGGCCGGAGGCUGCAAGCACCCCAGUGGGCAUCUACCUGCCCAGGCCACCCAUGGCUCCUCCUCCUGGGGUGGUGGGAUGGUUCAGGGCACUGCAGCAGCUCGGCUGUGUCCCACGUGCCAGCCCCAGUGGAUCUCCUCUGGGACAUGGCUGUUGCCUUGUGCCAAAAUCCUUUGCCUAUCUGACUGCAUGGCUCUCAUACAAAUUGGACAGGCUCAGUUAUAGCAAAGCAGCCCUAGUCUGAGCUUCUUGCACAGCGCUGGAACGAGGACUUACGGGCAGGCAGUGGUGUCCUGCCUCCUCUCACUGAGGAUGUUCAAGUCAAGUCCCCAGGCCCCUGCAGCUACAAUGGGCCUGCGUUACAUGAAAUGCCCACGUACGUGCCAUCUCCGCUCGCAGGACAGAAAUCCUCUCUGAAACAUGCAGUCCAGUGCACCUUGUUGGCAGCAGUCAUUGCAGACCUUCACCUCCCACUCCCUUGGGAUUUCUGAUCUGGAAACUCUGCCAGUACACAGCAUGAUGAGCCCCUCAUCGCCAGCUGUGUCCUCCUACCCCAAGCACAGUGGCAGGAACCCGCAUGGACACCCAUGCAGGAGAGCUCCCGUCCAGCUUGGCCUUGCUGGUUGCUAACUGAUGCCCGUGGAAGUUUCAAAGACUGUCAACAACACAGCCCACAGUAUUGCAGGCUGUGCUUCCUGGAACAGUCAGCUGGAUUUGGGAAAGCUACAGGUGAGCAGGAGAGCUGUGUGCACACCAUGCAUCUGAUGUUAAACACGGAUCAGGCUCAUCUGGGGAUUUCAAACCUACUCCAGUUUCCCAAAGAUGUGCCUUUCCUGGGAGGAAAGGCCAUGAAAAUAGAAUAUUAAAAUGUAGUGGUUUGGAGCUACACAUCAUGAGGAGUCCUUUUUCAUCUUCUGGAAAAUUUACUUAUACCAGGAAAAACACUCUCACAAUAACAGCUGCCUAAGUGAAAGCACCGUGGCUGUAUCAUGCUAAAAGCUUUUCAGGGAAAACAGUAAAUAAAUUCCACUCUUCAGAUGUAUCUGGAUGUUAUUCUAACACAGUGCCAGAGUAAUAGGUGAGCCAUCAACAGCUAAAAGGCUGACAAUUGUUACAGAGGAGCGAUACUGCCGAACAGGCUGAAAACACAUCCCGUGCAGAGCUCCAGUGCUUCUGGCAGAGGGGGAUGGGAGAGGGGCUCCCACUCCACUGGCAUGGAAAGGCUGGACACAAAACCACCAUCAAGACUGUCACAGGAGCCCCUGGCUAGUCAGAGCUAGUGUCCAGAAGCAUGACUCUCUGCACCUUCCCACCUGCAUGUUCCCUUUCUAGCUGUAAACAAGACUGGUCCAUGCAGGCCACCAGUGCUGCAGGCUGAGCAGGUGAAGGGGGCAGGUGGGGAGGUGACAGGCUCUCAGGGGACAGCAGAUGCUGGAGCAAGGCCAGUCCCAAAUCCCUCCACAUAGACACUGGGUGGCAAGAUCUUCCCAACUGCAUUAAACCUCUCAGCUGUCCAAAGCACAUUACCCCACUGUUUUACCUACAGCGGGCCAGAGUUUGCAUCAAGCCCCUGGAGCCCAGCAGACACCCUGAGCAGAGCCUGGCCCUCCACUUGCCAUUCCAGGCAGCAAUACACACCACCAUGCCAUGCCAGCCUCCUCUCUGCCUCCUCCCCAUGCAAGUGGGAACCACCUCAGUUCCAGCAUCAGACAAGUUCUGUGGUAACCAAGGCACAUCCCACAGUGACCACAAGGACCACGCAGAUCUGAGACUCCUCCAUUCCCUUCCUGGAGCUGCUCCUCUGCCCCUGGAGGGAGCAAUGCCAGCCAGGCAGCUGCUGAGGGCACAGCUAUUAAUUAUUUGCUUCUGUCAAUUAUUUCAGGGUUUAAGUUCAUUUAUUAUGUAUGCAAAAAUGGUAAUACAUUGGCAUCUGUAUGUCUUUUAGGCAUACAAUAUCCUUA